UGUGGGGGGGAGGUCGUCCGGGAUGUCUGGGAUGUGUGUGGUGUGUCCAGACCGUGUCUGUGGUAUCGGGGUGGCGUCCGGAGCUCCAUCCUGCUGGGACAGCUCGGGCUCCCCAGAGUAGACCACUGCUCGGCUGGGAAGGCCUGCCUGUUCAUCUCCCUGCCCCCCUGGGCACACGCCGGCUGAACAUGAGCCCAGUUGCGCCCAGAUGGGCAAGGAGCCCAAUGGCACGUGGGCUGUACCAGCCACAGUGUGGCCAGUGGAACCAGGGCAGUGACCACCCACCUGUGGUGGGGCACCUCUAGUCCUGGGGUUUGAUCAGCUGAACACUGCCUUUGAGAGGUUUACAGGACAUCCUUCAAUGUCCUGACUGUGCUUGAGCAGAAGUCAUGCUUUCUGUGGCAGACGGAUGAGCAAGGCCAGGGAUGGGCAGUGGUACAAGAUGAAUGAUGCCUCAAGACUUCUCUCUGCCAAAAUACAUAUUUACUUUUCUAUGCCAGGAGAGAAUGACUUUGUCCAGAUGCAUGCUCUCUGAGAAGAGCCAGCUGUGAAAAGGGGCAAAAUGGACAUCUGAGAGUAUAAAGAUGAGUCACUGCCUGAAAGGGCCAGACAUGGCUGGAAAACUGUGAUCUAUUUUCCAAAGCCUUGUGCUGCUUUAGUCUUCUGCAUGUCAUGUCAAAUGUGCCAGAAAAUGACAGGGCUGAAGCCUCAAGGAGACUGCAAGAAAUGAAGGAGGUGUAAAAAGCCCACACACACUGAGGAGGGGGAGAACUUGUAUAGAAGCCAGCCAGACAUUCUACCUCCCAGGAAAUUCAGGGCACCCUCACUACCAGCUGGGACAUGGCCAUGGGAACCUGCUUAGCUGUUUCCACAGGGAGAGAAAGAGCCUCCUGAUGGCAGAAGUUCAGGGGAGGAUGGUGCAAGAAUGAAGAAAGGGAACUUUCUUCGUUCAUCAUCAAGAGAGGAGAACUAAAAAGUAGCAACAUUGCAACAGUUGCUUCACUCCUUGCCAAUCAUUUCAAGUGCAUAUGGCUUCUGUAUAGACCUGUUCAGUACUGGUCACCAAGCUUCCCAGCAUAACCUGCCAGUGACCAUUAAAGGCUGCAGAUAUCUCAGAAGAAUGUUGACCAUUAAACCUGACAUUUAUGAUUGAAACAAUAAAACCAUCAAACCAAACCCAGUCCCAAGUGGUGCUUCUGAUUGUC